rnacentral:lncRNA from 1 species
UGCUCCAAUCCUGGAAAGGUUAGUGACAAGAAUACCCGAAGGAAUUUUUUUUACAAUUAUCCUUAUAUGCUCAACUCACAAGGUAAUGUGGCAAAUAAUUAAAAGCUCAUGUUAUGAUCUAAUCAGUGCUUGUUUUAGGACACUAAGCUUGUCCUUGGGAAACCAUUAAUUUAUGUCUGCGAAGUGGUUUCCCCUCCAACGCUGACCUAUAUCAAGAUCAACUCAACGAGAUCUGCAAUAUAUAUUAUAGACAUAUGCAUCGACACCCACCCUUUUAAAGUUUUUAUAAAUAGAAAGGAAGAGGGGGUUGGAGAUCCCGAAUGUGGUGAUGUUGGAGAGACCAAUGGAUUGUGAAGAUGUCGCAUAUGAGCAUGGAGUAAGUGAAGUGGCUAUGAAAUAAAUUCCAUGCUCAUUAAUGCUUAGAGUGAAAUCCAUGUGGUAUGGUGAAAGUGAUACGGUGAGUGUGGUAAAAAGGGAAAAGAAAAAGGAUACACGGACGACUUGGUUCGAAACUAGCACAGCUACCGUUCCCCGGCAACGGCGCCAGAAAGCUUGUUGGGUAUUUUAAACGCAAACAGAAAAAUCCGCAAGCGCACGGAUACCGAUGUAGCCUUCACCCGGGAGUAUUCCAGAGUAUCGAUUUUCCACAGGGAACGUGAGUGUACUAAUUAUGAUCCAAGAUCGCCCAAGGAUAACUAUAUGAUUAUUUUUGGUGAGAAGAGAGGAAGUUUCCUGAGAGUUCUCUAGUUGAUCUAAGAAUCAAGAAUUACUUCAAGAUUAUCUAUAUCGGGACAUCAGAGCACUAACCACAGAAAGAGAUGAGAAGGGGGCUAGGAAGGUCUGACUACGGUCCUACAAACACCGAUCCGAACGUGGUGGAAUACGUCGACCGUUAGGGCUGUCACUACCCUAAGGCUACCACAACAAUCCGCAGGAUUGGGUGCAAUUCCAGGUAAUCGCAAGACUAAACACCACGUCUAAUCUAUUAAUUACUACUCUAGCGUUAUAAAGACUAGAGCACUUGAUGCAAGCGGGAAUCCAAUAAAUAACUUGAAUGUAAAUAAAAGUAAUUAGAGAACUCAGGAAUUAAAAGCUUCCAACAUAAAGUUUUAUCAGAAAUGCCUUCAAUGCGAAGACAAUCCCAUGUUUGCUCAAAAUCUCUAAUAUGAAGGUAAGGGUUUUCAUCUUCCUUUCCCGAAAAAGAUAGGUUUUGAAUCAUGGCAAUCAACCUAGAACUUAACCUAUACUGGGAUGUUUGGAUAGGCUGUGAAGACUCCCAUGGUAAAAGGUCACUUACUGAAGGUGUUGCAAAUUGGUAGAUUGAUUUAGAAUCUUGGUUUUCCAUAUGGUAAGAGUAAAAAAAAUAAAUAAAGAAUAUAAAAGAUAAGAAAAGAUAAAAGUAUAGAUACAAGCUAGUAGUAAUACUCAAGGUUAUCUCAGCAAACCGUCUUCGAUCCCCGACAACGGCGCUAGAAAUGCUUGUUGAUAUUUGGGAACGCAAUAAGGAAUUGAUCCGCAAGUGCACGGAUAUCGGUGAGCACUUCACCUGGGAGGUUAUCCAGAGUAUCGUAUUUAUUUUUUUACCACUAGGAGAAAGAGUGCAUCUGACUAACCCGGUCUAUUACUACUGACCUUUAGGCUACAAAGAAUGUUUCUCGAUGUGAGUGAUAAAUAGAGAAGACUACAACCGUAAUCUCUUUCUAUCCUUGGUAAGGAUAAUCUACUGUUCUAUUGGGGAGGCUCACGGAAUCUAGACACCACAGAGGAUGUUCAACCCGCACCUAUAAACCCUAUCCUUCCUGCUAACGAGAUAUGGUUUGCAAAGGUAACUCAGAAAUGUCACGUUCCUCGCUACUACCACGGUCUAGCU